GAUGAACGCUGGCGGCGUGCCUAAUACAUGCAAGUCGAGCGAACGGACGAGAAGCUUGCUUUUCUGAUGUUAGCGGCGGACGGGUGAGUAACACGUGGAUAACCUACCUAUAAGACUGGGAUAACUUCGGGAAACCGGAGCUAAUACCGGAUAAUAUUUUGAACCGCAUGGUUCAAAAGUGAAAGACGGUCUUGCUGUCACUUAUAGAUGGAUCCGCGCUGCAUUAGCUAGUUGGUAAGGUAACGGCUUACCAAGGCAACGAUGCAUAGCCGACCUGAGAGGGUGAUCGGCCACACUGGAACUGAGACACGGUCCAGACUCCUACGGGAGGCAGCAGUAGGGAAUCUUCCGCAAUGGGCGAAAGCCUGACGGAGCAACGCCGCGUGAGUGAUGAAGGUCUUCGGAUCGUAAAACUCUGUUAUUAGGGAAGAACAUAUGUGUAAGUAACUGUGCACAUCUUGACGGUACCUAAGCAGAAAGCCACGGCUAACUACGUG
rnacentral:rRNA from 1 species